rnacentral:sRNA from 1 species
UCCUACUAUCGAUGGUGAUCGACCAACUUCAACGACAUUUGGUUGAUGACAUUCCAGUUCAUAGUAGAUCACAGUCAAAAUUUGGAAUUAUCAGGCGCGACAUGAGAUUGUACUAAUGAGGUCCUACAAAUAGCUCGUGUGAUGAUUGAAGAACAAGCAUCCAACAGUAGAGGAGGUCGAAAUGCACAUGAUAGAUGUACAUCAUCAUCUGGG